GAUGAACGCUGGCGGCGUGCCUAAUACAUGCAAGUCGAGCGAACGGACGAGAAGCUUGCUUUUCUGAUGUUAGCGGCGGACGGGUGAGUAACACGUGGAUAACCUACCUAUAAGACUGGGAUAACUUCGGGAAACCGGAGCUAAUACCGGAUAAUAUUUUGAACCGCAUGGUUCAAAAGUGAAAGACGGUCUUGCAGUCACUUAUAGAUGGAUCCGCGCUGCAUUAGCUAGUUGGUAAGGUAACGGCUUACCAAGGCAACGAUGCAUAGCCGACCUGAGAGGGUGAUCGGCCACACUGGAACUGAGACACGGUCCAGACUCCUACGGGAGGCAGCAGUAGGGAAUCUUCCGCAAUAGGCGAAAGCCUGACGGAGCAACGCCGCGUGAGUGAUGAAGGUCUUCGGAUCGUAAAACUCUGUUAUUAGGGAAGAACAUAUGUGUAAGUAACUGUGCACAUCUUGACGGUACCUAAUCAGAAAGCCACGGCUAACUACGUG
rnacentral:rRNA from 1 species